rnacentral:rRNA from 1 species
AGCGAACGCUGGCGGCAGGCCUAACACAUGCAAGUCGAACGAAGUCUUCGGACUUAGUGGCGGACGGGUGAGUAACACGUGGGAACGUGCCUUUAGGUUCGGAAUAACUCAGGGAAACUUGUGCUAAUACCGAAUGUGCCCUUCGGGGGAAAGAUUUAUCGCCUUUAGAGCGGCCCGCGUCUGAUUAGCUAGUUGGUGAGGUAAAGGCUCACCAAGGCUACGAUCAGUAGCUGGUCUGAGAGGAUGACCAGCCGCAUUGGGACUGAGACACGGCCCAAACUCCUACGGGAGGCAGCAGUGGGGAAUCUUGCGCAAUGGGGGAAAGCCUGACGCAGCCAUGCCGCGUGGAGGAUGAAGGUCUUAGGAUUGUAAAAUCCUUUCACCGGUGAAGAUAAUGACUGUAGCCGGAGAAGAAGCCCCGGCUAACUUCGUGCCAGCCGCCGCCGUAAAAC